AGUGAACGCUGGCGGUAGGCCUAACACAUGCAAGUCGAACGGCAGCACAGUAAGAGCUUGCUCUUACGGGUGGCGAGUGGCGGACGGGUGAGGAAUACAUCGGAAUCUACUUUUUCGUGGGGGAUAACGUAGGGAAGCUUACGCUAAUACCGCAUACGACCUACGGGUGAAAGCAGGGGAUCUUCGGACCUUGCGCGAUUGAAUGAGCCGAUGUCGGAUUAGCUAGUUGGCGGGGUAAAGGCCCACCAAGGCGACGAUCCGUAGCUGGUCUGAGAGGAUGCUCAGCCACCCUCGACCUGAGACACGGUCCAGACUCCUACCGGAGGCACCAGUGGGGCAUAUUGGACAAUGGGCGCAAGCCUGAUCCAGCCAUACCGCGUGGGUGAAGAAGGCCUUCGGGUUGUAAAGCCCUUUUGUUGGGAAAGAAAAGCAGCAGGUUAAUCCCCCGCUGUUCUGACGGUACCCAAAGAAUAAGCACCGGCUAACUUCGUG
rnacentral:rRNA from 1 species